rnacentral:lncRNA from 1 species
AUUGAUCACUUGAACCUGAAGACUCAAGAGUAAUAAAUUAAACUUUGUAUUUUAUAUAACAAUGAUUAAUCUUAGUAGCACACGGAAACCGCAUAACAAACAUGUCUGUACAUACGUAUGAAUAAUGUAUGCAUAUAUAAAUACCCAAUCCUUAAAAACCAGAACCAAGUGCUUUCAGAAAACAGAACCUUAGCUUGUAUUCCAAAUGAAUUGGAGCUUCAUUUAUCUAAGGUAUCAGAACCAGAUAACAUACACAAAGAUGCAGCCUCCCGUCAAAAAUGGCUUCAAUGUGUUUUUGGGCAACUCGACAGAGUGGCACCUUUCGAAUGGGCCGGCUUACUUAAACUCUGGCACCUUCAACUAAACAAGACACAUCAAGGGAAUAAAUAGCACCGAAGCACUCUGGCACCUUCAACUAAACAAGACACAUAAAGGGAAUAAAUAGCACUGCAAAUCUUCAAUCGAGGUCAUCGACAGUCAAUGGUUAAUCUCAACAAAUUAGCAAGAAAUUCCUUCGCUAAAUAAAUUAUAACAAUACCUCUUUAUUCAGUCCUUCAAUUGCUGUUCCAUGUAACUUCUCCCUCUAACAACCUGAAGGAUUAAAAAUAGCUCCUGUCAUAUACUAAAUAUAGCUUCGAUCAUAUAUAAGAAGUGGUCUUCAGGUAGUUGAAAACAAAUGGAAUCAAAGAGACUCAGUUACUAGUUUAUCAUGCACGCAGAAGAUAACUACAAUGCCUGCACUCUAUUCCCAAAGAAUUUUCGCAGCGUAAGCACAGAGAAU